GGACGGUUACUCAAGUAUGGCUGAAGAGGGCUGUUUGCUAAACAGUUAGUCGGUGGUAGCACCGAGCAGAGGUUCGAAUCCUCUACCGUCCGCCA
rnacentral:tRNA from 1 species